GUGCUGGCUUUGGUGGCAUAUAUACUAAAAUUGGAACGAUACAGAGAAGAUUAGCACGGCCUUCGUGCAAGGAUGACACGCAAAUUUGUGAAGUGUCCCAUAAAUUA